rnacentral:rRNA from 1 species
ACGCUCGACACCUACGGGAAGCAGCAGUGAGGGAUAUUGGUCAAUGGGGGAAACCCUGAACCAGCAACGCCGCGUGAGGGAUGACGGCCUUGGUUGUAACCUCUGUCCUCUGCGAAGAUAAUGACGGUAGCAGAGGAGGAAGCUCCGGCUAACUACGUGCCANCGNNGNGAGUAUGNGCGGCGNGNGAGAG